ACGAUUCUAGCCUUUGCGAAUUUUGAGUCCCCAUUGCUGCAUUGUGGCUCUGCAGGCAGCUCGCAAAAUUCUUACUCGCAAGACGUGAGGAAAGAAGCAGUCUUUGACAGAACAAAUGGCAUUCAAUCCUUUAUCACCUUCUCGGUCACAUUUUAUCAGUACCUUGGUUGCGUUUUUCAUUAGCAUCAAAAUGGGCAUUGGCAAGGAGAAGACUGUAAAACCAUCUUAAGCUUGCCCACCCAUUCAUCAAUGUCAUUUUGAGUUUAAUAACCAUUCAUACACAACACUAUUUAGAUGUUUAUUAAAAAUGAAUCGAUUUCACUAUUCUAAUUGAUGAACGGUCGAACCGGUUCAUCCUUAACCUUUAUAUUUUCCCGGUUCAAAUACCGGGAUCUAACAGCACUACACUGCAAAUCGGCAAUCAUCUUGUUAGUUGUUACAUGGUUACAUCUUGCAUCGUCCAUUAGAAUCAUUUCACGUUUACUCAAUCGCAGAGAGCUAGAACACAUAUUCUUCUCAACUGUUUCAUAUCUCCAGAAUCCUCGACCUCCGAAGAUUCCAGAUCUGAUGCUUGAAAUUCUUCAGAGACAGAGAAAGAGAGAUUUCAGUUAAUGGCUGGGGCAGUUUCUGCUCUGUUUCUCUUAGACAUAAAGGGGCGGGUUCUGGUGUGGCGCGACUACCGUGGGGAUGUCUCCGCCGUUCAAGCUGAACGCUUCUUUACGAAGCUCAUCGAGAAAGAGGGAGAUCCGCAGUCUCAAGAUCCGGUUGUCUACGAUAAUGGAGUCACUUACAUGUUUAUACAACACAGUAACGUUUACCUCAUGACCGCGUCGAGGCAGAACUGCAAUGCUGCUGGUCUCCUCUCCUUUCUCCUCCGUGUAGUUGAUGUUUUUAAGCAUUAUUUCGAAGAAUUGGAAGAAGAAUCGCUUAGGGAUAACUUUGUGGUAGUGUAUGAGUUACUUGAUGAAAUGAUGGACUUUGGCUAUCCUCAGUACACGGAAGCAAAAAUUCUUAGUGAAUUUAUCAAGACUGAUGCCUACAGGAUGGAAACUAAUCAGAGGCCUCCCAUGGCUGUCACAAAUGCAGUGUCUUGGCGAAGUGAAGGGAUAUUUUACAAGAAGAAUGGAGUUUUAUUGGAUGUCGUGGAGAGUGUUAAUAUUCUUGUCAAUAGCAAUGGACAAGUAAUUAGGUCAGAGGUUGUUGGCGCACUGAAGAUGAGAACUUAUUUGAGUGGUAUGCCUGAAUGCAAGCUUGGCCUGAAUGAUAGAGUAUUAUUGGAGGCCCAAGGUCGUGCAACAAAAGGAAAGGCCAUUGAUUUGGAGGAUAUCAAAUUUCAUCAAUGUGUGCGUUUAGCCCGAUUUGAGAAUGACCGGACAAUAUCCUUCAUACCACCUGAUGGGUCUUUUGAUUUGAUGACAUAUAGACUCAGCACUCAGGUUAAGCCUCUGAUUUGGGUGGAAGCUCAAGUUGAAAAGCAUUCAAGAAGUCGUGUUGAGAUCAUGGUAAAAGCUAGGAGUCAGUUCAAGGAGCUUAGCACUGCAACAAAUGUUGAGAUUGAGUUGCCAGUGCCAACUGAUGCUUCCAAUCCUAACGUUCGGACAUCAAUGGGAUCUGCAUCAUUUGCACCUGAAAAUGAUGCAUUAAUGUGGAAAAUUAAAUCUUUUCCUGGUGGAAAGGAGUACAUGUUGAGGGCAGAGUUCAGUCUUCCAAGCAUAAAUGCUGAAGAAGGAGCUACUGAGAGAAAGGCUCCAAUUCGUGUGAAGUUUGAGAUACCAUAUUUUACUGUUUCAGGAAUACAGGUUCGGUACCUGAAGAUUAUUGAGAAAAGUGGCUACCAGGCUCUUCCAUGGGUGAGAUAUAUAACUACGGCUGGUGAGUAUGAUCUUAGGCUUAUUUAAGGCUGCUCCAUCAACUGGCAUUAUGGAACUGCUAAAUUUAUCUGCGAGGUGGAAUAUCAGAGGAAGCCAUGGAUUAACAAGGAGCCAUGGGAAGUCAGUUUUCCAGUGCUCGUGGUAGUUCAGAUUAUAAAAAGUAGCAGUGCCUAUAAAGCAGUAGCAGAAAAACAGCAAGUUUUCUUCUAUAAAAACAGGAGUAGUGCCUAUAAAACUGGUGGAUGCCAUGACAAGAAAAAAUGUUCUAAAUUUGGUU